CCCGAGGGAGCCGGCCCGCGCCCGCCGAGGCCCCGGCGCAUGGGCGCCGCCGCCGGUCGUCCGCGCGGCGGCCGUGCACCGGCUUCCUCCGUCGGCCCUCCCGGGAUGCGCGACCGGGACGCGCAUCCCGUGCGACCGGGACGCGUGUCCGGGCGGUUCCCGUUUGCAACGCUCCUCGGUACUUUGGAACGCAUGGGGUGGGCUUUGGGCGGAUGCCC
rnacentral:lncRNA from 1 species